CCAAAGCAUCCGUAAUGCACUGACUCAGAUCCUCUGUCUUCCUGCUCUUCAUGUUCAGUGUGCUCAUGUUCUUACUCAUGGCCCUCAAACUCUUUGGGAUAAGGGCCUUAAAACAAUAGAGGGACGCCCCUAUUUCACCAACUAUCUGGAGAUUGUCUAUGAUCUCUGUCCUAGUCACGACUGCCAACAGCCUGGAUGUCAUUGGCCAGUUAAUAAGGUACACCCAUCUAGUACCGGGUCGGAUCCCUCUGCCUGCAGAACAGCCUGAAUUAUUUGGGGCAUGGAAACGUUGCUCAAGUGACCUAACGUGUACCAGGAGCUUGCAUGAUUCUUGCCAUUCUCCUUCGACCUCUUAUCAACAAGCUGUUUUGGAUGCACCGUUCUCUGUAAACCCUAGACAAGAUUUUACGUGAAAAGUCCAGGAGGAUGGACGUUUCUGAGAUACUGGAACUGUAGCGCCUGGGACUGACGAUCAUACCACGUUCAAAGUCGCUAAUGUCACUCGUUUUGCUAUUCUAAUGUUAAAUUGAACAGUAACUGAAUGCCUCUGCCUGUCUGCCUGCUUUAUAUAGUAAGCCACGGACACAUGACUCACUGUCUGUAGCAGCGAACCAUUUUCGUGAACAGAUAGCGUACCUAAUAAACCUACAACUAUUUUGCUGAGAGUAGAUUAUACUGGCAAUGAUGGUAAUACGUGGGGGGUUUUGCCUACUGAAGUUGAAUAAACUGGCUGUAGUUGCUCUGGAUAAGAGCGUCUCCUAAAUGACUAAACUGUACAAAUGUAAUUGUUUAAUCUUUAAUAUACAGACAAUUACAGUACCAGUCAAAGGUUUGGACACACCUACUCAUUCAAGGGUUUUUCUUUUAUUUUCACUAUUUUAUACAGUGAAUAGAUCAAAACUAUGAAAUAACACAUGUGGAAUCAUGUAGUAAUCAAACAAAGUGUUAAACAAAUCAAAAUAUAUUUUAGAUUCUUCAAAGUGGUCACCCUUUGCCUUGAUGACAGCUUUGCACAGUCUUGGCAUUCUCUCAACCAUCUUCAUGAGGAAUGCUUUUCCAACAGUCUUGAAGGAGUUCCCACAUAUGCUAAGCACUUGUUGGCUGCUUUUCCUUCACUCUGCGGUCCAACUCAUCCCAAACCAUCUCAAUUGGGUUGAGGUCGG
rnacentral:lncRNA from 1 species